CCCACCCUCCCUUAUCGAACGUUCAGAACUCCGAGACAGACAAUAUUCUGUUACAUUGUAGCAAGAUGGCGACUGUCAUUCACAACCCUCUGAAACCACUUGGGGAUCAGUUUUACAAAGAAGCAAUUGAACACUGUCGCAGCUACAACGCGCGGCUUUGUGCUGAGCGCAGCGUACGUCUUCCCUUCCUGGACUCUCAGACUGGUGUUGCCCAAAAUAAUUGCUACAUCUGGAUGGAGAAAAGGCACAGAGGACCAGGGGUGGCUCCAGGACAGUUGUAUACUUACCCUGCUCGAUGUUGGAGAAAGAAGAGGCGUUUACAUCCCCCUGAAGAUCCGAGAUUGAGACUUUUGGAAAUCAAAUCAGAUGUUGACUUCCCUUUAAGGAAGGAAGUUUUGUCUGAAGGGACUACAUUGGAGGCUUUACUUAGAGGUGAAGGGAUUGACAAGAAAGAUGCCAGAGAUGAAGACAGUCUACUGGAAAUUCAGAGAGUUUUAGAAAAUGAUGAAAAUGCAGAUGAAGCAAACGGAGAUGAUGACAUGGAAGAAGAAACUCCAAAGAGAAAGAACCGAAGCAGAGGACGGGCACGUGGUGGUAGGCGAAGGAAUGAUACCUCGUUUGAUGACCAUGAUAAACCUUAUGUGUGUGACAUUUGCGGCAAACGUUACAAGAAUAGGCCUGGCCUCAGCUACCACUAUGCUCAUACUCAUCUCGCUGAUGAAGAAGGGACAGACAGUAGAGACCAGGACACGCGAUCCCCAUGUUCACCAUCGAUCCUUAGAAAUGAAAACCAGAAACCUCAUAAAGGAACCGAUGGUGCUAUUCUUUCCAAUAAUUACUGUGACUUCUGCCUGGGAGACUCCAGCAUGAAUAAGAAGAGCGGGCACCCAGAAGAGCUUGUAUCGUGCGCAGACUGUGGACGCUCUGCUCAUUUGGGAAGAGAAAGCAGGAAGGAGGAGAUGCACAACGCAGAGGACUUGUUCGGUGCUACAUCUGAAAGCGACACAUCCACGUUUCAUGGCUUUGAUGAGGAUGACUGGGAGGAACCUUCCUCAUUCCGAGCCAAACUCCCCCCAACUGCAGCUGACCGGGGAGACUGCUAAAAGGCAAUGAUCUGGAUCGAUCCCAUCUACUUCCAAUUUUACCCCACCUUCAUUUUUAAGUUUUUGUUUUAACUUCCCCACCCCGCACCCCCGUUAUGUUUUUAUUUGUUCUAAGUUUUCAAAGCACAACUGUUUCCAAAACAAGAUAUUUUGGAAAAAUUUGGACGUUUUGUGAGCUCUUUCAAUGAGAGAAAAAAAAAAAACUGUGGAUAUAAACUUUUUUUGUCCUUUGCAAUGGGCAGAGUGACUGUCUCCAGUAUUAACCAGCAAGUCUGCUUUUUUGUUCCAAGGCCAUCUUUGAUUUAUGUUGUAAUGCCUCUUAUUGGGGAAUCGACAUGGGUUAAAAUAGAAGGCAGGACAAACACUGGAAGUCAACUUCUAUUCUGGUUGCAAUCCAGAUUACCUCAAUAACCGAAGACUUUUGUAAAUAUUUGCUUCUGCGUUAAAUGGGAUUUUGCACACAAAGUGCGGAGUCGAGCUGGCAUUUGAACCCAUUCUUCAGUCUGACUUCAAAGACAACACUGGCAUACAUGGAACAAGGUCCCUCCCAGCUCCAGCUACUGGAUCUUCUACAUAAGGCAAGAAGAUGUUUUGCUAGAGAACAAGUUAAGCACUGGGAAAAUAAAAGAACAAGUGGGAUAAAAUACCUCAGACUACAUUUUUUUCCCCCCUCAACAUUUGUAUAAGCUAUUUAUUUUUCUGUAGCUCAGAAAGACUUUUUUUUUCUCCCAGUGUCUAAAAGAACUUUUUUGUCUAAUUAUUUAAUACUACUUACUAGAAGAUACCAAAGCAGUACCCAUUAAUGGUCUACAGGGCAAUGGAAAUGAAAACAAGCUAUCUUCUGUCCUGCUGAGCUGAAAUCAGACUGAACCACAGCAGGAUUAUAAAGUCCAACAUGCCCUGCGAUGACCAGUGCGGUUCCCGAGAAGAGCGCAAUUUCUGACGGUGUUGGCAACACAAAGAAAUUAGUCUACCUACUGACACUCAGAGCCCCGAACCUUUGCUUGUGCAAUAUGAAAAAUGUAGCUUCACUGAAGAUUUUUUUUAUUUAUAUUUUUGUUUUAAUUUUUCUUUUUGUUUUCUUUUUUAUUUACAUGCUGUGUUUGACACCCAGCUUAAUUGGUAUAAGCCUAGAAAACACUUUUAGAAGGAGAUUAAAAAGGAGACCUCGUAUUUAUUUUAGUAUUUAAACUAAAAAUUAACCUUUUAAAUAUACUAGUUGUGCACAAUGUUUUGGAUUCAUACUUUGUAUUGGGACACAGAUAAAUGGAAGCUGGUGAAAGCACUUACGUGAAAUGUGGACUGGUGCGAUUUUUGAUUUUUUUUGUUGUUAAUGCUGUUAAUGUUUUGUUUUUGGUUAUUCUGGUCUGCAAACAUGGGAAGCAAGUGAUUUAAUCCUGUGUAGUAGGCAUUUAUUUUGCAAGACUGUUAAGGUCAUUUUCUAAUGAAUGUUUUAUGGUGGACUUGUUGGUAAGAUGGUUAUAUGACUAUGGAAGAAUCGCACAGUUCAUCAUGUUGGAUGAUGUCUUAGUAAAAACUGAGAUUUCUAA